rnacentral:lncRNA from 1 species
UGCCUCCAUCUUAGAUAAACUCUUUUUCUAAAAAGAUGGUAUGAUGACUCAUAAUCACACUGUGAUUCUCAAGAAGAUAGAAGUAGUAUCUCAUGAUUUUCUUAGGAUACCCUAUGAAGCGAGUCUUAAAAGAUCUAGCCUCUAACUUAUUCGUCUGCUGUCGCUUGACAUGAGCCGGACAUCUUCAAAUCUUGAGGUAUCCAAG